CGCAACGAGCGCAACCCUUGUCGUUAGUUGCCAUCAUUCAGUUGGGCACUCUAGCGAGACUGCCGGUGACAAACCGGAGGAAGGUGGGGAUGACGUCAAAUCAUCAUGCCCCUUAUGACCUGGGCUACACACGUGCUACAAUGGACGGUACAACGAGCAGCGAACUCGCGAGGGCAAGCGAAUCUCUUAAAGCCGUUCUCAGUUCGGAUUGCAGGCUGCAACUCGCCUGCAUGAAGCCGGAAUCGCUAGUAAUCGUGGAUCAGCAUGCCACGGUGAAUACGUUCCCGGGCCUUGUACACACCA
rnacentral:rRNA from 1 species